rnacentral:rRNA from 1 species
CCUACGGGCGGCUGCAGUGAGGAAUAUUGGUCAAUGGGCGCGAGCCUGAACCAGCCAAGUAGCGUGAAGGAUGACUGCCCUACGGGUUGUAAACUUCUUUUAUAAAGGAAUAAAGUGAGGCACGUGUGCCUUUUUUUAUGUACUUUAUGAAUAAGGAUAGGCUAACUCCGUGCCCGCAGCCGCGGUAAUACGGCGGAUCCGAGCGUUAUCCGGAUUUAUUGGGUUUAAAGGGAGCGUAGAUGGGUUGUUAAGUCAGUUGUGAAAGUUUGCGGCUCAACCGUAAAAUUGCAAUUGAUAAUGGCAGUCGUGAGUACAGUUGAGGUAGGCGGAAUGCGUGGUGUAGCGGUGAAAUGCUUAGAGAUCACGAAGAACUCCGAUUGCGAAGGCAGCUUACUAAACUGCCACUGACAUUGAUGCUCGAAAGUGUGGGUAUCAAACAGGAUUAGAUACCCUAGUAGUC